GACGAACCGUGCGAACGUUGUUCGGAAUCACUGGGCGUAAAGCGCACGUAGGCGGAUCUUUAAGUCAGGGGUGAAAUCCUGGAGCUCAACUCCAGAACUGCCUUUGAUACUGAGGACCUUGAGUUCGGGAGAGGUGAGUGGAACUGCGAGUGUAGAGGUGAAAUUCGUAGAUAUUCGCAAGAACACCAGUGGCGAAGGCGGCUCACUGGCCCGAUACUGACGCUGAGGUGCGAAAGCGUGGGGAGCAAACAGG
rnacentral:rRNA from 1 species